UCUCUCUCUCUCUCUCUCUCUAUUACGUUUCUCUUCCUCUCUGCCCUAACUCUCUCUUCCCCAAAUCACUCCUUACGAACAAGCGAAAUUUGCUACUCACGAAGGUGCGCUCACGAACUCGAAGCUCCCUGCUCACUCGCUCAAGGUUCGUAAGGGCUGGGUUUGAUUUCUCUCGCAUUGAAGCUCUUGGAUAGCGUUGUUACCUGGUUAGGGUUUGAUUCAAAUCGUUGGCAGGUAAAAUCCUAAACGUACAGUCCUUGUUAGUGUUAGGUUUUCAUUUUUCUAUACAAUACUUUGGGUAUUUUGGGUGAAUAUAUUGGUGAUCCUGGUUUGAUUUUUAAUUUGUUCUUUUGGUAUAAAUCUGUUAUAUGAUUAUAUUUUUCUCUUGGUAGUCAUUCUAACAGCUUCGGUUAUUCUCUUGUAUAAUGACUAUGUUGAAUCAUAUGCCCUUUUCUUUAUUUCCUGGUCGUGCUUUCAAGUCUUGCAAUUUGUAAAUUGCAGUUUCACAGAACCCAGUUUGUACAUGACAAGCUUCUUACAUUUUAGAAUAGCAUUGCUAAGUUAGAAUUUUUUUAUUAAUAACCAAAGUUGUUAGCCAAAUUAGACUUAAUAAUUUUUAUUAAUGAUGAUAGUUGAAUCCCAACUUACAUUGUAGGUAAGGAGUCUUUAACUCAAAAUGGUAGAGCACUUGGGUUAAUGCCUAGGUUAUGGUGGUUUCGAAUCCACCAAGACUUUGAAAAGUGAACGAAUGUAUGAUUACUUUGAAUAUGAAUGAAUGCUUUCUUCUGCCCUGAGAUGCAUAUCUUCUUUUGCCCUCAUUUUAUGCUCUGUUUUCUGCUAACAAGGUACUGACUUUUAAAUGCAAUGACUUCUAUGCAUUUUCCUUGUUUCAUAGAACUUCUUUAAAAUUGAGGUUAGCACAGAAAUCUGAGUUUUGUUAACUAUUACUGUUGUCAUGUACUUUCUGUUGGUUUGACAUUUCAUGCAUUCUGUUUAGGCCAGUCUUGGUUUACUCUGCCCUGAACUGAAGGUUGCAUCUAAGGGGGUAUUGUACAGUAUUGCACCAUAUGGGAAUUGCAGAGGAUUUUUAUCCAUCUAUGAAGCGUAUAAGUGCAGAGAUUCUAAUCAAACUAUGAUGAGUUUAUGGGAAUUUGCUAAUAAUGCUAGUUUAGGGAUCAUAUCUCGUUAUUUUGAUCAUGAUGUAAUGACGAACCAU